rnacentral:rRNA from 1 species
UCUUACGGCCAUACCAGCCUGGGUACCCCCGAUCUCGUCUGAUCUCGGAAGUUAAGCAGGGUCGGGCCUGGUUAGUACUUGGAUGUGGGAAUACCAGGAGCUGUAAGCA